rnacentral:rRNA from 1 species
CCUACGGGUGGCAGCAGUGAGGAAUAUUGGUCAAUGGCCGGAAGGCUGAACCAGCCAUGCCGCGUGAAGGGCAGGGACCUAUGGGCGUUAAACUUCUUUUGUGCGGGAGCAAGAAUGGUCACGUGGGGCCAGACGAGAGUACCGGACGAAUAAGCAGCGGCUAACUCCGUGCCAGCAGCCGCGGUAAUACGGGGGAUGCAAGCGUUAUCCGGAUUUAUUGGGUUUAAAGGGUGCGUCGGCUGUGAGGUAAGUCAGCGGUGAAAUGCCCCCGCUCAACGGGGUGAAGUGCCAUUGAUACUGCCUUGCUUGACUGCGGAUGCCGUGGGAGGAAUGUGUGGUGUAGCGGUGAACUGCCUAGAUAUCACAC